rnacentral:rRNA from 1 species
CCUACGGGUGGCAGCAGUGAGGAAUAUUGCACAAUGGGGGAAACCCUGAUGCAGCGACGCCGCGUGAACGAUGACGGAUUUCGGGAUGUAAAGCUCUAUCAGCAGAGAAGAAAAUGAAGGUACCUGACUAAGAAGCCCCGGCUAACUACGUGCCAGCAGCCGCGGUAAUACGUAGGGGGCAAGCGUUAUCCGGAUUUACUGGGUGUAAAGGGAGCGUAGACGGUCCUGCAAGCCAGUUGUGAAAGCCCGGGGCUCAACCCCGGGACUGCAUUUGGAACUGUAAGGCUAGAGUGCAGGAGAGGCAGGCGGAAGUCCUAGUGUAGCGGUGAAAUGCGUAGAUAUUAGGAGGAACACCAGUGGCGAAGGCGGCCUGCUGGACGAUGACUGACGUUGAGGCUCGAAAGCGUGGGGAGCAAACAGGAUUAGAUACCCGUGUAGUC